AUUAAUAAAUGGGUACUUUUGGCUUUUCCACUCAUAUAACUAGACCCACUAUAGUUUGUCUCCAAUUAGUCCACCUUUCUCUCUGCCCCAUUCUUGGGGCAAGGCGAAGCCAGAGGAAACUCUCUGGUAGAGUCUCUCAUCGAUACUGAUGCGGAAAUCGUUUGUCUUACUUGGUAUAGGGGUAAAAGACUAAUCGAAGCAUCUUGUAGCUAGUUCCCUCCGAAGUUUCCCUCAGGAUAGAUGGAGCUCGCGUCUAUUGGGUAAAGCUAAUUAUUAGAGGGAUCGGGGACGAACCACCCUCGACCUAUUCUCAAAUUUUAAAUAGGUAGGACGGUGCGACUGCUUUGUUGAGCUGCACCACAGAAUCAAGAGCUCCAAGUGGGCCAUUUUUCGUAAGUAGAACUGACGAUGCGGGAUAAACUGGAAUCCAGGUUACGGGGCCAAAUUGUGCACUAAUAUAGAUUCCACAAAGGGUGCUGGUCGAUUAAGACAGUAGGAUGGUGGUCAUAGAAGUUGAAAUCCGCUGAAGAGUGUCUAACAACUCAAUGGCCAAAACAACUAGCCCCAAAAAUACAUGGUGAUUAAGUGCGCCACCUACACCUGACCGUCAGGGCAUGUGCCAGUUUCUGUUGAGCUGGACAACACGGUGAUCGGUGCAAAACCUUGGACGUGAGCCUGGGCAAAAUCUCCGUCAGUGCAGAUCUUGAUGGUAGUAGCAAAUAUUCAAAUGAGAAUUUUGAAGGCCGAAGAGGGGAAAAAUUCCAUACGAAAGGCACUUGCACAUAGGUUAGUCGAUCCUAAGGGUCGGGGGAACCUCGACAGAUUGUGCAUUUCGCACGUACUCCGAAAAAGAAUCAGAAUUAAAUUUUUGAAUAGGGACGUGGCAGUACACGACAACAUUAGGAAGUCCGGAAUCAUCAGAGGGAGAUCGGGAAGAGUUAUAUUUUCUGUUUAGAAGCCUGCUGACCUUAGAAAUAGCUUAGUUGGAGGUAGGGUCUAUUGGUUGGAAGAGAACCAUAUGUUGCAUGGUGUCCAGUGCGACCUUGACGACCUUUGAAAAUUCGAAGGACCGAGUGUUGUCCAUGCUCGGUCGUACUUAUAACUACAUCAGGUUUCCAAAGUGAACAACCGCUGGUG
rnacentral:ncRNA from 1 species